UACGGAGGGUGCGAGCGUUGUCCGGAAUCACUGGGCGUAAAGGGCGCGUAGGCGGCGCGGAUAGUCGGCGGUGAAAGCCCGGAGCUCAACUCCGGGUCGGCCGUCGAUACUUCCGGGCUUGAGCACUGUAGAGGCAGAUGGAAUUCCGGGUGUAGCGGUGGAAUGCGUAGAGAUCCGGAAGAACACCGGUGGCGAAGGCGGUCUGCUGGGCAGUUGCUGACGCUGAUGCGCGACAGCGUGGGUAGCAAACAGG
rnacentral:rRNA from 1 species